rnacentral:lncRNA from 1 species
AUGCACAGUAAAACAUUUUCACUAUAUUUUAUUUUCUUGUUUUUAGACUGCAAACUGGACAUUAAAAAAUUGCAUUUGAUAGAAUCUGUGAAGAAUCAUCCUAUCUAUGUUUUUGAAGUGAAUGAGACAUUUUCUUUGGAUCCAAAUAAGCCAGAAAUACAGAGAGAAAUCCCGGUAUCGUUUAUUAUUAGAGGAGACAAACAAAAGAAUGGCACAGAUAAAAACUUAAAUAAAGAAGGAAGUCAAGCAGAAAAUCAGACAGAGUAUACUAUUAAAGUAUACACAGGUGACAAAAGGGGAGCAGGAACUGAUGCCAAUGUGCAUAUUAUUUUAUUUGGGGAUGAGGACAAAUCUGAGGUGUUUCAGCUCUCUCAGUCACUGGAGCGUCAGGAUCCCUUUGAAAGAGGAAAGGUUGAUACAUUCAAGAUUAAGACAAAAAAAAUAGGAUGCUUACAUUCCAUUGAAAUUGGUCAUGAUGGGAAAGGAUUCGGUAAGUAUACUGCAUGUGUUCAAUGGGCUUGUAAAAAUCUUCUGCUUGAAUAUCUGCCUGACAUUUGGAAGGUCUUUGAAGUCAUGCUAUUGCUACAGUUAGCUAAUACAAAUCUUGAUACAAAUUAG